AAUGAACGCUGGCGGUAGGCCUAACACAUGCAAGUCGAACGGCAGCACAGUAAUAGCUUGCUCUUACGGGUGUCGAGUGGCGGACGGGUGAGGAAUACAUCGGAAUCUACUUUUUCGUGGGGGAUAACGUAGGGAAACUUACGCUAAUACCGCAUACGACCUACCGUUGACAGCAGGGGAUCUUCGGUCCUUUCUGGAUUAAAUGAGCCGAUGUCGGAUUAGCUAGUUGGCGGGGUAAAGGCCCACCAAGGCGACGAUCCCUAGCUGGUCUGAGAGGAUGAUCAGCCACACUGGAACUGAGACACGGUCCAGACUCCGACGGGAGGCAGCAGUGGGGAAUAUUGGACAAGGGGCGCAAGCCUGAUCCAGCAAUACCGCGUGGGUGAAGAAGGCCUUCGGGUUGUAAAGCCCUUUUGUUGGGAAAGAAAAGCAGCAGGUUAAUACCCCGCUGUUCUGACGGUACCUAAAGAAUAAGCACCGGCUAACUUCGUG
rnacentral:rRNA from 1 species